GUACCACUGAGGAGUCCCUUAAUAGGACGAAACGACCGUCCAGUGC
rnacentral:hammerhead_ribozyme from 1 species